AUAUACGAGAACGCUGCAGAAUGUAGAACUCUUUGGACACUCGUAAACAGGUGGUGCAUGGUUGUCGUCAGCUCGUGUCGUGAGAUGUUGGGUUAAGUCCCGCAACGAGCGCAACCCUCGUUCUAUGUUGCCAGCACGUAAUGGUGGGAACUCAUGGGAUACUGCCGGGGUCAACUCGGAGGAAGGUGGGGAUGACGUCAAAUCAUCAUGCCCCUUAUGUCUUGGGCUUCACCCUUGCUACAAUGGCCGGUACAAAGGGCUGCAAUACCGUAAGGUGAACCGAAUCCCAAAAAGCCGGUCCCAGUUCGGAUUGAGGUCUGCAACUCGACCUCAUGAAGUCGGAGUCGCUAGUAAUCGCAGAUCAGCAACGCUGCGGUGAAUACGUUCCCGGGCUUGUACA
rnacentral:rRNA from 1 species